GACGAACGCUGGCAGCGUGCUUAACACAUGCAAGUCGAACGGAAAGGCCCUGCUUUUGUGGGGUGCUCGAGUGGCGAACGGGUGAGUAACACGUGAGUAACCUGCCCUUGACUUUGGGAUAACUUCAGGAAACUGGGGCUAAUACCGGAUAGGAGCUCCUGCUGCAUGGUGGGGGUUGGAAAGUUUCGGCGGUUGGGGAUGGACUCGCGGCUUAUCAGCUUGUUGGUGGGGUAGUGGCUUACCAAGGCUUUGACGGGUAGCCGGCCUGAGAGGGUGACCGGCCACCUUGGGACUGAGAUACGGCCCAGACUCCUACGGGAGGCAGCAGUGGGGAAUAUUGCACAAUGGGCGGAAGCCUGAUGCAGCAACGCCGCGUGCGGGAUGACGGCCUUCGGGUUGUAAACCGCUUUCGCCUGUGACGAAGCGUGAGUGACGGUAAUGGGUAAAGAAGCACCGGCUAACUACGUG
rnacentral:rRNA from 1 species